UAUGUACUCCCUCCGUCGAACAAAGGAUGUUUCAACUUUGAUUAAAUUUGAAUGCAUCUAUACACUAAGUCAUGUCUAGAUACAUUUAAAUUUUGACAAACUUGAGACAUCUUUUGUUGGACGGAGGGAGUACUAA
rfam:Brachypodium distachyon strain Bd21 chromosome 2, whole genome shotgun sequence.